rnacentral:rRNA from 1 species
UAGGGAAUCUUCGGCAAUGGACGAAAGUCUGACCGAGCAACGCCGCGUGAGUGAAGAAGGUUUUCGGAUCGUAAAACUCUGUUGUUAGAGAAGAACAAGGACGUUAGUAACUGAACGUCCCCUGACGGUAUCUAACCAGAAAGCCACGGCUAACUACGUGCCAGCAGCCGCGGUAAUACGUAGGUGGCAAGCGUUGUCCGGAUUUAUUGGGCGUAAAGCGAGCGCAGGCGGUUUCUUAAGUCUGAUGUGAAAGCCCCCGGCUAAACCGGGGAGGGUCAUUGGAAACUGGGAGACUUGAGUGCAGAAGAGGGGAGUGGAAUUCCAUGUGUGGCGGUGAAAUGCGUAGAUAUAUGGAGGAACACCAGUGGCGAAGGCGGAUCUCUGGUCUGUAACUGACGCGGAGGCUCGAAAGCGUGGGGAGCAAACAGG